GAUCCUGGCUCAGAUUGAACGCUGGCGGCAUGCCUUACACAUGCAAGUCGAACGGCAGCGGACCUUCGGGUGCCGGCGAGUGGCGAACGGGUGAGUAAUGCAUCGGAACGUGCCAUUGAGUGGGGGAUAACGUAGCGAAAGUUGCGCUAAUACCGCAUAUUCUGUGAGCAGGAAAGCAGGGGACCGCAAGGCCUUGCGCUCUUUGAGCGGCCGAUGUCAGAUUAGCUAGUUGGUGAGGUAACGGCUUACCAAGGCGACGAUCUGUAGCGGAUCUGAGAGGAUGAUCCGCCACACUGGAACUGAGACACGGUCCAGACUCCUACGGGAGGCAGCAGUGGGGAAUAUUGGACAAUGGGCGCAAGCCUGAUCCAGCAAUACCGCGUGUGUGAAGAAGGCCUUAGGGUUGUAAAGCACUUUCAAUUGGGAGGAAAACCUGCCGGUCAAUACCCGGUAGCUUGACAUUACCUUUAGAAGAAGCACCGGCUAACUACGUG
rnacentral:rRNA from 1 species